AGUUCUUGAGCCUUAACCACUCUGAGUCUUAUUAUCGGCCAUUAGUUUUAAAAUGUCUGCCAGUUCUCGAGAAGUCAGUUUUGGAUCGCCACCUGCAACUUCAACUGAGACGAUUUUCGUGUUCAUUGGAUCUUUACAUGUUUUCACGUUUUUUUCUUCCUUCGUCGAAUUUCUAUUCUUGAUCUGGAUUUCUCGCAAUGGAACCGGAGAGGUAGACAUAUUCUUGUGCUGUCCAAGAUGUGUAACACUCAAAC